CUCUCCUGAGCUGAUAUACCUUUGCUUAGAUAAAGGAUCCUUGAGAUCUAAACUCCACAAUCAAGGGAGAAGAAGAUUCUUUGACUACAUCUGAUCAACAUAGAUACCUUCACAGCCAUUUCUUCCUCCAGGGCAGUGGAGGUGAAACACAUCAAUGGUCAGCACUGAGUUCUCUGAGUGGAAGGAAGAGUUUAGAGCUUAUCCGUCUUUGGAAAACACAUGACAUCAAAGAGAGUGUACCCUAGGGCACCUAAUUCCCAGUUUCGAUUGCCCAGUGGGUAAUGGGGAGCCAUUGGAAGUUUUUCAGCUAGAGAGAGAGA
rnacentral:lncRNA from 1 species